rnacentral:rRNA from 1 species
AGUGAACGCUGGCGGUAGGCCUAACACAUGCAAGUCGAACGGCAGCACAGUAAGAGCUUGCUCUUACGGGUGGCGAGUGGCGGACGGGUGAGGAAUACAUCGGAAUCUACUUUUUCGUGGGGGAUAACGUAGGGAAACUUACGCUAAUACCGCAUACGACCUACGGGUGAAAGCAGGGGAUCUUCGGACCUUGCGCGAUUGAAUGAGCCGAUGUCGGAUUAGCUAGUUGGCGGGGUAAUGGCCCACCAAGGCGGCGAUCCGUAGCUGGUCUGAGAGGAUGAUCAGCCACACUGGAACUGAGACACGGUCCAGACUCCUACGGGAGGCAGCAGUGGGGAAUAUUGGACAAUGGGCGCAAGCCUGAUCCAGCCAUACCGCGUGGGUGAAGAAGGCCUUCGGGUUGUAAAGCCCUUUUGUUGGGAAAGAAAAGCAGCAGGUUAAUACCCCGCUGUUCUGACGGUACCCAAAGAAUAAGCACCGGCUAACUUCGUG